rnacentral:ncRNA from 1 species
UUUGGUAGAGGUCGCAUUUGGCAAUGAGUAUCAUACGGGUAUCAAGCUCUGACGAAGCGCAUCUGUAUGAAAAAGGUGUCGGUGCCGAGGACAGCCAUGUCAAAGGCUGCAUCCGGCGCGGUGAAAUAAGAUUUAUCGCGUUGUCGCAUCAAAUGAUGCGGAGAGCUAUCGGU